ACGGAAGGAACGGGAAUGGAAGGAACAGGAAUGGAAGGAAGAAAACCAGCAGCAGGAGAACAACCAGACGUAAGAGCAUUCUCAGUGAGGACAAUCGGACACCGUCCACUCACAGUGGAUGAAGUCACGUAUUCCGUUCUGGACUUCAGUGCCCAGCGACCCAGACCACCAGAUUCAGCCUCCAUGCUCCAACAGUCACAGACAUGGUUCCUGAAGUAAAAUGAAUCGACGGGACCCGUCCUGCUGACUACACCGUACCUUCCGCUGACUCUCACUCUUGAAACAGAUGGAAAGGGGUGUGGUGGACUGGGUCUGGUUGUUACAGUGGUGGGGAAGGUGUUAGAGAAUGAAUUUGCCUGGUAGAGCAGGG